rnacentral:lncRNA from 7 species
AGGCAAUGUUGGCUCAGCUCCUCUGACAUUAAAUGAAGUGACACACCAGUGUAGGGCUCUGUUUCAAAUCUGUGCUCAGCAAAACAGACAUCCGUUUAAGGAUGGAACCAAAACGCAUAACCCAGGCUGGGAUUCAAAUUUUUCCUAGAGUAAAGCAGCUAAAUACAGGAAUUAGAACCUUCUACAAUAUAUGUUGCUACAUAAAAUACUUAUUCAUGAUCAAGAUCAGAGAAUCUGCUGAAAACAUCUACAGAAGGUUGAUGCACCAUAUAUUUGCAGAUGGGAAUGGAAAAAAAUGUGAGUUUUUUGGUGAUUUUUUUUUGUUUCUUUGUUUUAUUUUCUUUUGUCUGUUUUUUGCAGCUGUUUAA